rnacentral:rRNA from 1 species
GGUCAAGCGGUUAAGCGCAUACGGUGGAUGCCUAGGCGGUAGGAGGCGAUGAAGGACGUAGCAGCCUGCGAUAAGCCUCGGGGAGCUGGCAAGCAAGCUUUGAUCCGGGGAUGUCCGAAUGGGGAAACCCACCUCUUCGGAGGUAUCUGCACCUGAAUACAUAGGGUGUAGAGGCGAUACCCGGGGAACUGAAACAUCUAAGUACCCGGAGGAAAAGAAAUCAACCGAGAUUCCGUCAGUAGCGGCGAGCGAACGCGGAUUAGCCCAAAAGCUUCUUUGGUUUUAGUGGAACGGUCUGGAAAGUCCGGCCAUAGUGGGUGAUAGCCCCGUACACGAAAAGGCCAUUGAAGUGAAAUUGAGUAGGGCGGGACACGUGAAAUCCUGUCUGAACAUGGGGGGACCAUCCUCCAAGGCUAAAUACUCCCUACCGACCGAUAGUGAACCAGUACCGUGAGGGAAAGGCGAAAAGAACCCCGGAGAGGGGAGUGAAAUAGAACCUGAAACCGUAUGCGUACAAGCAGUGGGAGCCCCUUCGGGGGUGACUGCGUACCUUUUGUAUAAUGGGUCAGCGACUUACUUUCAGUGGCAAGGUUAACCGCAUAGGGGAGCCGUAGGGAAACCGAGUCUUAACAGGGCGAUCAGUCGCUGGGAGUAGACCCGAAACCGGGCGAUCUAUCCAUGGCCAGGGUGAAGGCGGGGUAAUUCCCGCUGGAGGCCCGAACCCACUAAUGUUGAAAAAUUAGGGGAUGAGCUGUGGAUCGGAGUGAAAGGCUAAACAAGCCCGGAAAUAGCUGGUUCUCCUCGAAAGCUAUUUAGGUAGCGCCUCGUGUAUCACUCCUGGGGGUAGAGCACUGUUAUGGCUAGGGGGUCAUCCCGACUUACCAAACCAUUGCAAACUCCGAAUACCAGGAAGUGCGAGCACGGGAGACACACGGCGGGUGCUAACAUCCGUCGUGGAGAGGGAAACAACCCAGACCGCCAGCUAAGGUCCCCAAAUCAUGGCUCAGUGGGAAACGAUGUGGGAAGGCAGAAACAGCCAGGAGGUUGGCUUAGAAGCAGCCAUCCUUUAAAGAAAGCGUAAUAGCUCACUGGUCGAGUCGGCCCGCGCGGAAGAUUUAACGGGGCUUAAGCCAUGUACCGAAGCUGCGGGAAUCAGAUGGCAGAUUUCAGAUAUUAGAAAUCAGAAGCAACAUGGAGGUUUGAUAUGGAUGCGAACGGAUUCGAGCGCAUGGAGGUUUUUCAGCGGGCAUACAAGCUCUCGCUGGAAAUACACCGUGCAAGUCUGAAGCUGCCCAAGGUCGAGCAAUAUUGUUUGGCUGCACAGAUGCGUCGGGCGAGCAAGUCGAUACCGGCGAAUCUGGCGGAAGGAUAUGCCAAGCGCGCCUCUCAGGCCGAGUUCAACCGUUUCGUUCAAAUGGCGAUCGGUUCGGCUGACGAGAUGCGGGUCUGGCUACGAUAUUGCGUAGAUCUCGGAUACAUCGGAAAAGACGAGUGGACGAACUGGAAGGCCGAGUACGUCGAAGUGGCGAAAAUGCUCACAGGCCUCUCAAAAGCCGCCAGUCUGAAAUCUGAUGUCUGAUCUGAGAUCUGAUGUCUGAAAUCUGUCAUCUGAUUCGGUAGAGGAGCGUUCCGUACGCCUGUGAAGGUGUGUCGAGAGGCAUGCUGGAGGUAUCGGAAGUGCGAAUGCUGACAUAAGUAACGAUAAUGCGGGUGAAAAACCCGCACGCCGAAAGCCCAAGGUUUCCUGCGCAACGUUAAUCGGCGCAGGGUUAGUCGGCCCCUAAGGUGAGGCAGAAAUGCGUAAUCGAUGGGAAACAGGCUAAUAUUCCUGUACCUCGUGAUACUGCGACGGGGGGACGGAGAAGGCUAGGUCAUCCGGGCGUUGGUUGUCCCGGUUCAAGCGAGUAGGGAGUGAUUCCAGGAAAAUCCGGUUUCACAAUCCUGAGACGUGACGACGAGUUCCUACGUGGAGCGAAGUGACUGAUGCCAUGCUUCCAAGAAAAUCCUCUAAGCUUCAGGUAUCACGGGACCGUACCCGAAACCGACACAGGUGGGCAGGGUGAGAAUCCCAAGGCGCUUGAGAGAACUCGGGUGAAGGAACUAGGCAAAAUGGUACCGUAACUUCGGGAGAAGGUACGCCCUUGGUGGUGAUGGGACUUGCUCCCUGAGCUGCUGGGGGUCGCAGAGACCAGGCCGCUGCGACUGUUUAUUAAAAACACAGCACUCUGCAAACUCGAAAGAGGACGUAUAGGGUGUGACGCCUGCCCGGUGCCGGAAGGUUAAUUGAUGGGGUUAGUCUUCGGACGAAGCUCUUGAUCGAAGCCCCGGUAAACGGCGGCCGUAACUAUAACGGUCCUAAGGUAGCGAAAUUCCUUGUCGGGUAAGUUCCGACCUGCACGAAUGGCGUAACGAUGGCGGCACUGUCUCCACCCGGGACUCAGUGAAAUUGAAAUCGCUGUGAAGAUGCAGUGUACCCGCGGCUAGACGGAAAGACCCCGUGAACCUUUACUACAGCUUCACACUGAACUUUGAACCUGCUUGUGUAGGAUAGGUGGGAGGCUUUGAAGCGGCGACGCCAGUCGUCGUGGAGCCAACCUUGAAAUACCACCCUGGCAUGUUUGAAGUUCUAACCUAGUCCCGUUAUCCGGGACAGAGACAGUGUGUGGUGGGUAGUUUGACUGGGGCGGUCUCCUCCCAAAGAGUAACGGAGGAGUGCGAAGGUACCCUCAGCGCGGUCGGAAAUCGCGCACUGAGUGCAAAGGCAAAAGGGUGCUUGACUGCGAGACAGACAAGUCGAGCAGGUGCGAAAGCAGGUCUUAGUGAUCCGGUGGUUCUGUAUGGAAGGGCCAUCGCUCAACGGAUAAAAGGUACUCCGGGGAUAACAGGCUGAUACUGCCCAAGAGUCCAUAUCGACGGCAGUGUUUGGCACCUCGAUGUCGGCUCAUCACAUCCUGGGGCUGAAGCAGGUCCCAAGGGUAUGGCUGUUCGCCAUUUAAAGUGGUACGCGAGCUGGGUUUAGAACGUCGUGAGACAGUUCGGUCCCUAUCUGCCGUGGGCGUCGGAAAUUUGAGAGGAUCUGCUCCUAGUACGAGAGGACCGGAGUGGACGUACCUCUGGUGUUCCGGUUGUCACGCCAGUGGCAUUGCCGGGUAGCUAAGUACGGAAGGGAUAACCGCUGAAAGCAUCUAAGCGGGAAGCCCACCUCAAGAUGAGAUUUCCCUGGACCCUCGAGGUCCCUGAAGGGCCGUCGGAGACUACGACGUUGAUAGGCUGGGUGUGGAAGCGCAGUAAUGUGUGAAGCUAACCAGUACUAAUUGCCCGUGCGGCUUGACCAU